UCGAGGUCUGCGCCUAUGAACUGAAGGUGCUGGGUGGGGCGUAAUGUGGAUUUGUCUCUGUUUAUUUGUAGGCCGAGAGAAAGAAAGCACUCGACUGUGAGUCGUGUGAACCGGAGCGCCUCGUCGAAUGUUGAAGCUUUGAGGAGGCAAUCGUCGAGGUGUCUGGAGACCUAAAGACCGGAGGGUUGUUCUGGAGUCUUUCAUUGAAUGAAGCACUUCAUUCGUGUUAGCAGCAAAGAGUUUGUCACCGUCGAAGGGAAGAUCUUCAAUUGUGUUCUGAACUUCGCGAGGAAAAAAGGAAGAGGAGAGCCAUGAGCCCCGUCGCAUGACUAUCGCUUAGCGGUAGAUCUUGCCGCUGUGUUGGCUACAUCGAGGGCUGCUUGGAGAGCGGUGCGUGAAAUGGCUUGGCCCUCAGAAACUAUAGCUCUGAACUGUUGUUUUCUUUGUUCUGGAAUGUCAUCAAUAAAGUCCAUUAACUUA